GCUUACGGCCAUACCACGUUGAAGGCACGCCAUCCCGUCUGAUCUGGCAAGUUAAGCAACGUUGGGCCUGGUUAGUACUUGGAUCGGAGACGGUUUGGGAAUCCUAGGUGUCGUAAGCUUUU
rnacentral:rRNA from 1 species